rnacentral:rRNA from 1 species
AUUGAACGCUGGCGGCAGGCCUAACACAUGCAAGUCGGACGGUAGCACAGAGGAGCUUGCCCCUUGGGUGACGAGUGGCGGACGGGUGAGUAAUGUCUGGGGAUCUGCCCGAUAGAGGGGGAUAACCACUGGAAACGGUGGCUAAUACCGCAUAACGUCGCAAGACCAAAGAGGGGGACCUUCGGGCCUCUCACUAUCGGAUGAACCCAGAUGGGAUUAGCUAGUAGGCGGGAUAACGGCCCACCUAGGCGACGAUCCCUAGCUGGUCUGAGAGGAUGACCAGCCACACUGGAACUGAGACACGGUCCAGACUCCUACGGGAGGCAGCAGUGGGGAAUAUUGCACAAUGGGCGCAAGCCUGAUGCAGCCAUGCCGCGUGUAUGAAGAAGGCCUUCGGGUUGUAAAGUACUUUCAGCGGGGAGGAAGGCGGUGAGGUUAAUAACCUCGCCGAUUGACGUUACCCGCAGAAGAAGCACCGGCUAACUCCGUGCCAGCAGCCGCCGUAAUAC